AAGCCACGCCCUUCUACGGUGUUGUAUAAAUCCGGUGCGCGAGGGCGCGCGUUCUUUCCGGUUCGCCAUGGCGGUGUUGUAUUCCUGUACAUUGCACGAGAGCUUUGCUUUGCCUUUUAAGGAUUUUUCUUGCUUGAGAGUGCCGUGAUGGCUCACUUGUCCAGCACUUCUCCAGGCUGACUUCGCUGCAUCACUGUGCUGAUGUUUGACAUUCGAAGACCCGUGCUGCCAUGGCCUGUUGACUUGAGUGGCUGAAGGCAUUCCUCAGGAACUGUGGCCUUAGUAUGGUGGUGUGCAGUAGGUGUAAUAGCAAGGUUCAUGUUUGAAAAGGGCUGACUAACCAUACAAGACUGAUCACUUGUGCAAGAUCAAGGAAGUCUGGCUUGAUGGUUUCCAUAUUUUUGUGAAAUGUAUGGAUUCUUGUGUGGGUUUUUCUUUUAUUUUUUUAAUUGAGUCCUGAACACUGAAGAAAUAAAGUGGAAUUUGUGUCCAUGAA